rnacentral:rRNA from 1 species
AUAAGGGUAUAUGGUGGAUGCCUAGGUACUAUGAGCCGAUGAAGGACGCGGCAGCCGGCGAUACGCUUCGGGGAGGUGGCAAACAACCUUUGAUCCGGAGAUUUCCGAAUGGGGAAACCCAUGCAUUUGAAGAAUGCAUGCUGUAUGCACGUGGGUGCAUAUGUGCGGGAACCAUGCGAAGUGAAACAUCUCAGUAGCAUGUGGAAAAUAAAUCAAUUCAGACGUAAGUCUGAUCGAGAUUCCCUUAGUAGUGGCGAGCGAACGGGGAUAUGUAUAGAAAUUUAUUCAUUGAGCGCCUAUGCUUGGCGUUUGGUGAUUAAAUUAUCUAUUUGCCUAAACCUUUUGAGUGUUUUUUUUGUAGCAAUACAGAAGUCUAAAGCUUACUGGCGUUGCUCAAGAGGUGUUAUAAGUGGGAGUUGUUGUAAGACAGUAAUCUUACAAGGAAAUAUUGUAUGUUGUAGCAGAAUACUCCUGGAAAGGAGAACCAAAGAGGGUGAUAGUCCCGUAUAGCGAAACAUCAUACAGUUUCCUAAUUUCUUCUUAAGUACGACCAGACACGAGAAAUCUGGUCGGAAGUCGGGUCGACUAAGAUCCAAGGCUAAAUACUCAUAGUGACCGAUAGUGAACAAGUACCGUGAGGGAAAGGUGAAAAGCACCCCGGAAGGGGAAUGAAAUAGUUUCUGAAACCAUAUACUUACAAGGAGUCGAAGACCAUAGGCUGACAGCAAUGUCGGUACUGGUUAACGGCGUGCCUAUUGAAGAAUGAUCCAACGAGUUAGUUAUACGCGGCUUAACUAAGUCUUACCAAAGACGAAGUUGUAGUGAAAGCGAGGAUUAAUAGUCCGUAAUUAAAUUAUAAAGUUAUCCCGAUUUAUCGGGAUCAGCUUUAUAAUCUAAUAUGUCGCGUGUGCUAGACCCGAAACCCGAGUGAGCUACCCAUGGCCAGGAUGAACACUGUGUAAAAGCAGUGGGAGGUCCGAACCCACUAGUGCUGCAAAACUAGGGGAUGAGCUGUGGGUCGAAGAGAAAUUCUAAUCGAACCGGGUGAUAGCUGGUUCUCCUCGAAAUAACUUUAGGGUUAGCGUCGAGUGUUCCUUUUAGAGGUAGAGCACUGAAUCGGUUUUGGCUGCGCAAGCGGUCGUAUCGAACCAAACUCCGAAUUCUAAAAGUCAAUAGCUCGGCAGUUAGUCCGUGGGCUCUAAGGUCCAUCGGACAAAUGGAAAAGAAUCCACACCAUCGUCUAAGGCCCCCAAAUCCUAGCUAUAGUGCAAAGGAUGUGGGGUUGCUCAUACAACCAGGAGGUUGGCUUAGAAGCAGCCAUCCUUUAAAGAAAGCGUAACAGCUCACUGGUCAAGCGAUCCUGCGCCGACAAUAUAUAGGGGCUAAGCUAGGUGCCGAAGACAUGGGUUUGCUUUUAAUUUAUUAAUUGCAAGCGGUAGAGGAGCGUUGUGUGCGGGUUGAAGUAGGAUCCGUAAGGGCCUAUGGACUGCACACAAGUGAGAAUGUUGGAAUAAGUAAUAUAUAUAGGGGUGAGAAUCCCCUUCGCCGAAUAUCCAAGGUUUCCUGGGCAACGAUCGUCGUCCCAGGGUUAGUCGAUCCUAAGAGCCGGCCCCAAGGGGUCGGUCCGAUGGAAAACAGGGUUGAUAUUCCCUGACCACCGCAUAGUUAUCCAAGGCGGGACGCAUCAUGGUAACACUGGCGUUAUCUGACUAUUAGCGUUGUUGCAGCUGUAGGGUGGAGUUCCAGGCAAAUCCGGAACUUCUAUGUUAGUCUAGGCGCAAGCCGAGAUGAUACUGUAAGCUCGAGGCUGUGAAGAAAUUCCGCAAGGGAGAUUAGUGUGACCCAAGGUGCCAAGAAAAGCGUCGUGGUUAUGCUAUGUGGUGCUCGUACCGUAAACCGACACAGGUGGAUGAGGAGAGAAUCCUAAGGCGUCCGGACCAAUGUUCGUUAAGGAACUCGGCAAAAAAGCAGGUGUACCUUCGGUAUAUACCUUGCCCUUUUGCAUGCUGGGUAAUGGAAGAAUUUUAAGUUUGGGAUUGUGGCUCAAAAAGAUGAGUUUGUUUGGAACAACAGUGGUAAUGGGUGAAGCACUCUUCAGCCAUGGAUAAGGUGUGCUGUGCACAUAACCACUGCCAAAUAGGCUUAUUGUCUAGAGCGCGCGCCUCGGAAGCGCGAGAUUGCGGGUUCGAGUCCCGUCAGUCCCACCAAGAUCUGGAAACAUAUCAGUCAAAAGCCACCACAAGGCAACGCACUAAGGCACCGCCGGUGUCUUAAAAUGCGGGUUAAGAUAAAGCCUGUACUGAUCACUGUUUCCAGUCAAGAAAGCGGAACGAGGGAAAAGGCGAGUCCCUCGUUUCGCCUGUGGGGUGUAUGAUCUGCAGUUGUCCUAGAGGACUUGAGUUCUUGCUUUUGCAAGAGCAAAACGGUUUUCGUUCAGCUGUCCUGGUCCCCUCACGAGAUGGAGCAAGUGUGUUUCUAGCCAGGUGGCGCUGUACAUGACACACACUUGCUCCUCUCCAUUCUUUCCACAGAUGGUCGUUUUACGAUCGUCCCCGAAUUUAUAGAUGGACUUUAAACCUCCUUCUAUUGUUCGGGUCCAUUACCCAGCAUGACAAAAGGGCCGCAGCGACUGAUCUCUCCCGACUGUUUACCAAAAACUUAGGUCCGUGCUAAAGCGCAAGCUGAUGUAUACGGGCUGAUGCCUGGCCAGUGUCAGAAGGUUAAACCCCUCGUCGCAAGAUUGGGGGCCAAGCCCUGAUGAACGCCGGCAGUAACUAUAACUGUCCUAUGGUAGCGAAAUUCCUUGUCGCGUAAGUUGCGACCCGCACGAAUGGCAUAACGAGUAGAGAACUGUCUUAACGAACAAUCCGAUGAACUUACAAUGGCGGUAAAGAUGCCGUCUACCCGCAGCAAGACGGAAAGACCCUAUGAAGCUUUACUAUAGCGUGUCAUUGAAAUUAUAUUUCUGCUGUUUAGUAUAGGUGGGAGACUUUGAAAGUUUGGCGCUAGCUGAACUGGAGUCGAAAUGUGAAAUACCACCCUGCAGUGAUGUGGUUUCUAACCAGGCCUUAACCUAGUCUGGGACAGUGGCUCGUGGGUAGUUUAACUGGGGCGGUUGCCUCCUAAAUGGUAACGGAGGCGUUUAUUA